UGGGGAAUAUUGCACAAUGGGCGCAAGCCUGAUGCAGCCAUGCCGCGUGUAUGAAGAAGGCCUUCGGGUUGUAAAGUACUUUCAGCGAGGAGGAAGGCGGUAAGGUUAAUAACCUUAUCGAUUGACGUUACUCGCAGAAGAAGCACCGGCUAACUCCGUGCCAGCAGCCGCGGUAAUACGGAGGGUGCAAGCGUUAAGCGGAAUUACUGGGCGUAAAGCGCACGCAGGCGGUCUGUCAAGUCGGAUGUGAAAUCCCCGGGCUCAACCUGGGAACUGCAUUCGAAACUGGCAGGCUAGAGUCUUGUAGAGGGGGGUAGAAUUCCAGGUGUAGCGGUGAAAUGCGUAGAGAUCUGGAGGAAUACCGGUGGCGAAGGCGGCCCCCUGGACAAAGACUGACGCUCAGGUGCGAAAGCGUGGGGAGCAAACA
rnacentral:rRNA from 1 species